UCUGUACAUAACAAUAUUAUAUCCAAGAGAAUAUAGUUGCUCCCUAUAUGGAAUAAAUUUUUAAGCAAUGUUAAGUGGUAUUGAUUUAGUGAUGCGACUGCGUUGCAGAGGUUGAAAUACUACAAAACAGGGAUAGCCGUGAGUCCCAAAGAAUAUUAAUUCUUUAAAAUUAAUCUUUUGAAGUUGAUAAAAAGUAUAUUUAUUACUUUUUAUACUUCAAAAGUUACGGCGCU
rnacentral:sRNA from 12 species